rnacentral:rRNA from 1 species
AGAAUCAACGCUGGCGGCGUGCCUCAGACAUGCAAGUCGAACGCGAAAGUCCUCUUCGGGGGACAAGUAGAGUGGCGCACGGGUGAGUAACACGUAGGUAAUCUACCUUUGGAUGGGGAAUAACAACCGGGAAACGGUUGCUAAUACCGCAUAAUGCAGCGGCACCUAAUGGUGACAGUUGUAAAGCGGGGGAUCGAAAGACCUCGCGUCUGAAGAGGAGCCUGCGGCGAUUAGCUAGUUGGUAAGUAAUGGCUUACCAAGGCUACGAUCCGUAACCGGCCUGGAGAGGGCGGUCGGUCACACUGACACUGACAUACGGGUCAGACUCCGUAGGGAGCAGCAGUCGGUAAUUUGGGCAAGUGGGACGUAAAGCCGUACGACCCGAGACGAACGCCGCGUACGGAAGGUAUAGGAACUCCCGUCGGUAUACGUAAACUUCGACAAACGAACGAAGGAAG